UACGUAGGGUGCAAGCGUUGUCCGGAAUUAUUGGGCGUAAAGAGCUCGUAGGCGGUCUGUCGCGUCGGCUGUGAAAACCUAGGGCUCAACCCUGGGCUUGCAGCCGAUACGGGCAGACUAGAAUUCGGUAGGGGAGACUGGAAUUCCUGGUGUAGCGGUGAAAUGCGCAGAUAUCAGGAGGAACACCGGUGGCGAAGGCGGCCUUCUGGACGGUGACUGACGCUGAGGCGCGAAAGCGUGGGGAGCAAACGGG
rnacentral:rRNA from 1 species